GACGAACGCUGGCGGCGUGCUUAACACAUGCAAGUCGAACGAAGAGCGAUGGAAGCUUGCUUCUAUCAAUCUUAGUGGCGAACGGGUGAGUAACGCGUAAUCAACCUUCCCUUCAGAGGGGGACAACAGUUGGAAACGACUGCUAAUACCGCAUACGAUCUAAUCUCGGCAUCGAGGAUAGAUGUAAGGUGGCCUAUACAUGUAAGCUAUCACUGCAGGAGGGGAUUGUGUCUGAUUAGCUAGGUGGGGGGGUAACGGACCACAAAGGCGAUGAUCAGUAGCCGGUCUGAGAGGAGGAACGGCCACCUUGGGACGGAGACCCGGCCCAGACGCCUACGGGAGGCAGCAGGGGGGAAGCUUCCGCAAGGGACGAAAGUCUGACGGAGCAACGCCGCGUGAGCGAUGACGGCCUUCGGGUUGUAAAGCUCUGUUAAUCGGGACGAAAGGCCUUCUUGCGAAUAGUGAGAAGGACUGACGGUACCGGAAGAGAAAGCCACGGCUAACUACGUG
rnacentral:rRNA from 1 species